rnacentral:rRNA from 1 species
CCCCUAGAUGUUCUGGGCCGCACGCGCGCUACACUGAACAGUUCAACAAGUCUUAACCUUGGCCGAUAGGUCUGGGUAAUCUUUGAACGCUGUUCGUGAUUGGGAUAGACCUUUGCAAUUAUGGGUCUUCAACGAGGAAUUCCUAGUAAACGCAAGUCAUCAGCUUGCAUUGAUUACGUCCCUGCCCUUUGUACUCACCGCCCGCCGCACCUACCGAUUGAAUGGUCCGGUGAAAUCUCGGGACGGCGGCUCGGUCGCUUGCGUCCGACUGCUGAAACUUGAUUAAACCAUAUCAUUUAGAGGAAGGUGAAGUCGUAACA